rnacentral:misc_RNA from 1 species
UUGAAAUAAACCUGAUAGGUUGUUGCUGGCUCUUUCGGGAGCAUGUGCACGCUUGUCAUCUUUAUAUUUCCACCUGUGCACCUUUUGUAGAUCUGGAUAUCGUUCUGAAUGCCCUGGUAUUCAGGUUUGAGGAUUGACUUUUGUCUUUCUUUACAUUUUCAGGUCUAUGUUUUCUUCAUAUACACCAUGUAUGUUAUAGAAUGUAUUGAGAAAAGGCUUUUAUGCCUACAAAUCUAUA